rnacentral:rRNA from 1 species
UAGGGAAUCUUCGGCAAUGGACGAAAGUCUGACCGAGCAACGCCGCGUGAGUGAAGAAGGUUUUCGGAUCGUAAAACUCUGUUGUUAGAGAAGAACAAGGACGUUAGUAACUGAACGUCCCCUGACGGUAUCUAACCAGAAAGCCACGGCUAACUACGUGCCAGCAGCCGCGGUAAUACGUAGGUGGCAAGCGUUGUCCGGAUUUAUUGGGCGUAAAGCGAGCGCAGGCGGUUUCUUAAGUCUGAUGUGAAAGCCCCCGGCUCAACCGGGGAGGGUCAUUGGAAACUGGGAGACUUGAGUGCAGAAGAGGAGAGUGGAAUUCCAUGUGUAGCGGUGAAAUGCGUAGAUAUAUGGGGGAGCACCAGUGGCGAAGGCGGCUCUCUGGUCUGUAACUGACGCUGAGGCUCGAAAGCGUGGGGAGCAAACAGG